AAUUAGGUGGCCUAUUGGUUACAGCGUCCGCCUCGGGUGCGGAAGGACGUGGGUUCGAACACCAGUUUAGUCA